GAUGAACGCUGGCGGCGUGCCUAAUACAUGCCAGUCGAGCGAACAGACGAGGAGCUUGCUCCUCUGACGUUAGCGGCGGACGGGUGAGUAACACGUGGAUAACCUACCUAUAAGACUGGGAUAACUUCGGGAAACCGGAGCUAAUACCGGAUAAUAUAUUGAACCGCAUGGUUCAAUAGUGAAAGACGGUUUUGCUGUCACUUAUAGAUGGAUCCGCGCCGCAUUAGCUAGUUGGUAAGGUAACGGCUUACCAAGGCAACGAUGCGUAGCCGACCUGAGAGGGUGAUCGGCCACACUGGAACUGAGACAAGGUCCAGACUCCUACGGGAGGCAGCAGUAGGGAAUCUUCCGCAAUGGGCGAAAGCUUGACGGAGCAACGCCGCGUGAGUGAUGAAGGUCUUCGGAUCGUAAAACUCUGUUAUUAGGGAAGAACAAAUGUGUAAGUAACUAUGCACGUCUUGACGGUACCUAAUCAGAAAGCCACGGCUAACUACGUG
rnacentral:rRNA from 1 species